GAUGAACGCUGGCGGCGUGCCUGAUACAUGCAAGUCGAGCGAAUGGAUUAAGAGCUUGCUCUUAUGAAGUUAGCGGCGGACGGGUGAGUAACACGUGGGUAACCUGCCCAUAAGACUGGGAUAACUCCGGGAAACCGGGGCUAAUACCGGAUAACAUUUUGAACCGCAUGGUUCGAAAUUGAAAGGCGGCUUCGGCUGUCACUUAUGGAUGGACCCGCGUCGCAUUAGCUAGUUGGUGAGGUAACGGCUCACCAAGGCAACGAUGCGUAGCCGACCUGAGAGGAUGAUCGGCCACACUGGGACUGAGACACCGCCCAGACUCCUACGGGAGGCAGCAGUAGGGAAUCUUCCGCAAUGGACGAAAGUCUGACGGAGCAACGCCGCGUGAGUGAUGAAGGCUUUCGGGUCGUAAAACUCUGUUGUUAGGGAAGAACAAGUGCUAGUUGAAUAAGCUGGCACCUUGACGGUACCUAACCAGAAAGCCACGGCUAACUACGUGCCAGCCGCCGCAGUAA
rnacentral:rRNA from 1 species